CGGGAGGCAGCAGUGGGGAAUUUUGGACAAUGGGGGAAACCCUGAUCCAGCCAUCCCGCGUGAGUGAAGAAGGCCUUCGGGUUGUAAAGCUCUUUCGAAAGUGAAGAAAACUUAUUUCGUAAUAUGUUAUAAGUAUGACGGUAACUUUAGAAGAAGCACCGGCUAACUACGUGCCAGCAGCCGCGGUAAUACGAAGGGUGCUAGCGUUGUUCGGAAUUACUGGGCGUAAAGGGCGUGUAGGCGGAUGAUCAAGCUAGAGGUGAAAGCCCAGGGCCCAACCCUGGAACUGCCUUUAGAACUGAUUGUCUAGAAUCCGUAAGGGGAGUGUGGAAUUCCUAGUGUAGAGGUGAAAUUCGUAGAUAUUAGGAAGAACACCAGUGGCGAAGGCGGCACUCUGGUACGGUAUUGACGCUGAGGCGCGAAAGCGUGGGGAGCAAACAGGAUUAGAUACCCUGGUAGUCCACGCCGUAAACGAUGUCUGCUAGCCGUUUGGACACUUAGUGUCUGGGUGGCGCCGCUAACGCAUUAAGCAGACCGCCUGGGGAGUACGGUCGCAAGAUUAAAACUCAAAGGAAUUG
rnacentral:rRNA from 1 species